AUACGUAGGUGGCAAGCGUUGUCCGGAAUUAUUGGGCGUAAAGCGCGCGCAGGCGGUCCUUUAAGUCUGAUGUGAAAGCCCACGGCUCAACCGUGGAGGGGCAUUGGAAACUGGAGGACUUGAGUGCAGAAGAGGGAAGUGGAAUUCCAAGUGUAGCGGUGAAAUGCGUAGAGAUUUGGAGGAACACCAGUGGCGAAGGCGACUUUCUGGUCUGUAACUGACGCUGAGGCGCGAAAGCGUGGGGAGCAAACAGGAUUAGAUACCCUGGUAGUCCACGCCGUAAACGAUGAGUGCUAAGUGUUAGGGGGUUUCCGCCCCUUAGUGCUGCAGCUAACGCAUUAAGCACUCCGCCUGGGGAGUACGGUCGCAAGACUGAAACUCAAAUGAAUUGGCGGGG
rnacentral:rRNA from 1 species